AUCAUUACAAUGCAAUAAGAAGCAAAUAUAGUACCAAGUAAAAGACAUCCUUUUAUUAUAUAAGUCAACAAAAUAUUGUGACCAUGAAAUCCUUGUCUAGCUUAAUGAUUGUUGUUAUGGUUGCCAUGACAUUGAUGCUUUCAGUUGGAGUUAAUAUGUCCCAAGCUACUAGGAUUCUUCAUCAUCACCCAAAUCCUACUCCUUUUUCUUCUUUUUCUUCAUCUUCAGUCCCACAAGUGUUAUCUUCAUCAAAUAGAGUUUCAAAGAAAGAAGAGGCUAAAUCAUCAAAGUCAGUAGUAGCAGCUAGCCUUAGAAGGAUUCCACCAAGCAGACCAAAUCCUACUCAGAACAAGUUGAAGCCUAAGAUUAGGGGCUAAUCCGAGCUUGAAGAACUGAGAUGAAGAUGAAACUAUAUAUCUAUAUAAUAUAAAAGAUGUAGCAGAUGAACACUACUGCUGCACUUGUUUUGUUUGAUGAUUUUUAAUUGUAUUGUAGCUUCCAAUUUUCCUUGUAGGUUUAUUAGGUAGGAAGAGUGGUAUAGAGUUUAUUUUGGAUUUUACUUUUAAUUCUUUUGUUUUUUUACCCCUUGUAUUUUUUAUGUUUUAGAAUGAAGGGAGAUAAGGAGACUUUUAUGUAAUUACACAUUUAACCUCAGUUAAGUAAAAUGUCUUUUCACUUUUACUCUUCAA